GACGAACGCUGGCGGUGUGCUUAACACAUGCAAGUCGAACGGAAAGGCCGUGCUUGCUGGGUACUCGAGUGGCGAACGGGUGAGUAACAGGGGGGUGAUCUGCCCUGCACUUCGGGAUAAGCGUGGGAGACUGGGUCUUAUAGCGGAUAGGAAAUACGACUAGCGUGGUGGUGGAGAGGUUUUUUGGGUGUAGGGUGAGUUCGCGGCCUAUCAGCUUGUUGGUGGGGUAAUGGCCUACCAAGGCGGCGACGGGUAGCCGGGCAGCGAGGGUGUACGGCCACACUGGGACUGAGAGACGGCCCAGGCGCCUACGGGAGGCAGCAGUGGGGAAUAUUGAACAAUGGGCGCCAGCCUGGUGCAGCGACGCCUCGUGGUGGAUGAAGGCUUUCGUGUUGUAAACUCCUUUCGCUAGAGACGAAGCUUUUUGUGACGGUACCUAGAUAAGAAGCACCGGCUAACUACGUG
rnacentral:rRNA from 1 species